rnacentral:rRNA from 1 species
GCGAAGAACCUUACCUGGUCUUGACAUCCAGAGAACUUUGCAGAGAUGGUUUGGUGCCUUCGGGAACUGUGAGACAGGUGCUGCAUGGCUGUCGUCAGCUCGUGUUGUGAAAUGUUGGGUUAAGUCCCGCAACGAGCGCAACCCUUAUCCUUUUUGCCAGCGGUUCGGCCGGGAACUCAAAGGAGACUGCCAGUGAUAAACUGGAGGAAGGUGGGGAUGACGUCAAGUCAUCAUGGCCCUUACGACCAGGGCUACACACGUGCUACAAUGGCAGAUACAAAGAGAAGCGACCUCGCGAGAGCAAGCGGACCUCAUAAAGUACGUCGUAGUCCGGAUUGGAGUCUGCAACUCGACUCCAUGAAGUCGGAAUCGCUAGUAAU